rnacentral:tRNA from 1 species
GAAAUAUAGCCAAAAAGAAGCUUCUAACUUACUUUUUUAGCAGUGAAACCCUGUUAAUAUUUCU